rnacentral:lncRNA from 10 species
GUAAAAUCCUGUGAGAGCCUGUCUCCUUUGCUGUGCUGCUACAAGGUUAUAAAGUAAAUCAAACAAGUUACAAUUCCUGUUUUCCUCAAGAUCUAAGACAUGUUAAUUGUCUUUGUUUUUUGCUCUGGUAACAUCUUCCCGCCACACGUAUUUCCCGCCUUAAAAAGUUUAAAAGGUCAUCAAAAAAUCUAACACUGGCUACCCGCUUGGGACCCCUUCCACGCUGUGGAAGCUUUAUACUAUCAGCCUGCUCAAUAAAGCCUACAUUUUUUUUUCUCUUGGUCCGAUCCGUGUCUCUCUCUCACCGCGGGCUGCCGCCACACCAAAUCUUUGGCGUGGCUAAGGCAAGAACCUUUGGCUACAUUUUGGCGAGCCAGCCAGGAGGAUCUCCAGGAAAGGCAGGUAGAUCGUCACGUGGUUCAGAGACUACAGUUUCCUGAUUAAAUCUCAUAGAAAGGAAGCCUCCUUAAAGAGACUAAGGACACUGACAGAGGAAAUUUACCCCAAACCUUCAAACUCUGCAGGAAGAAACUCUCCUCAUAGCCAUCACAACUGGGUAUAUACUGGGUCAUACCUGAAGCCAGCACAUCUCUGAAUUUCAUCCAAGGCCCAUGGUUGGUGAGAGCUGCCUUUAGGUUACAUGGGAGCAGCAAGGAGGAUACUUGUAUGGAUGGGAUCUACCACAAUUUGAGCAGCCUCUAGUUUUGGUGAGAUCUGCCGCACUAUCUGUAAAAUGGACAAAAAAGAGAAAAGGACAAUUGAACACAGAGGUGCACAAGAAAGAAGCAAUAUGAGCUCAUACCUAGUUUUCUUUUGCUGUUG